UGAAAGACUGAAAUUUAUCUCAGACCAAUUCUUCCUGUGGUGGCCAGUACACUGUUUGAUUCCCCUCCCUGCUUGAGGCACUACACAGAGCUCAGGGACGCUGCUGUUUGUCCUUGGCUGGCUGUUUGCCAGACUGUUACUCCGAGCUGCCGCUCGCCUGCUACCUUGAGUAUCCAUCGUCUGCGGACUACCUGUCAACCUGG